UAAAGACUUAGUUACUUAAGUUGUUAAGAUUUAGAGUGCGUUUGAUUCGCGCUAUCUUUUAAAGAUUCCAAAUAAUCCAAUGGAAAUAAAAAAAUAUGACGGUGUUUGGCUAAAUGCACUAAGUAAUUUAGUUGGUAAUAUUGGAUUCACUUGGGAAUAAGAUUUACCCAAAGUACUAAUCUCAUUCCCUUGAGGGAGGGUGGGUAUCCUCAUAUUAGUGGAUUGGGGUAAUCACAAUAUGUCUAAUCUAUUUCCUUCUUCCUACCCGCAGGCUAAUUGAUAUUAUUUUUCUUUACACUCUAACCUUAUAUCUCUCUCUAAACUUAUUUUUCUCCCUAAGAUUAAACUUUUUUUUUCUCUCUCUAAACUAAGCUUUCUCUCUCUCUCUCUCUUUCUAAAAUUUCAACUCUCUCACUCCCUCUAAUUUCGACUAUAUUUUUCUUUCUAUUUUUUUAAUUAUGCUCUCUCUCUCUAACUUAUACUCUCUCUCCCUUUUUUCUAAAAAGAUGUUGAAACUUUUGGUAACAUUAUCUAAAAUUAAUUAAAUAAAUAAAUAAAUAAAUUGUAUAUUUUUUGUAAUAUUAAAUAAUAUGACUAAUUAAUAUUACCGUGCGAACCAAACACAGGAAUUUCACAUUCUUAGUAAUAGGAUGAAUAGGAAUAAGAUUCUCAGAUAUCUUUUAUUCCUAGUAAUCUUUCAUAAUGCGAACCAAACGCACCCUUAAGUUAAAAUUAUGAGUACUAAGUAAA
rnacentral:lncRNA from 1 species